rnacentral:rRNA from 1 species
AUUGAACGCUGGCGGCAGGCUUAACACAUGCAAGUCGAGCGGGGGAAGGUAGCUUGCUACUGGACCUAGCGGCGGACGGGUGAGUAAUGCUUAGGAAUCUGCCUAUUAGUGGGGGACAACAUCUCGAAAGGGAUGCUAAUACCGCAUACGUCCUACGGGAGAAAGCAGGGGAUCUUCGGACCUUGCGCUAAUAGAUGAGCCUAAGUCGGAUUAGCCAGUUGGUGGGGUAAAGGCCUGCCAAGGCGACGAUCUGUAGCGGGUCUGAGAGGAUGAUCCGCCACACUGGGACUGGGACACGGCCCAGACUCCUACGGGAGGCAGCAGUGGGGAAUAUUGGACAAUGGGGGGAACCCUGAUCCAGCCACGCCGCGUGUGUGAAGAAGGCCUUAUGGUUGUAAAGCACUUUAAGCGAGGAGGAGGCUACUCUAGUUAAUACCUAGGGAUAGUGGACGUUACUCGCAGAAUAAGCACCGGCUAACUCUGUGCCAGCAGCCGCCGUAA